rnacentral:rRNA from 1 species
GACGUAGGGCGCGAGCGUUGUCCGGAUUUAUUGGGCGUAAAGAGCUCGUAGGCGGCUUGUCGCGUCGACUGUGAAAACCCGCGGCUCAACCGUGUGGUCUGCAGUCGAUACGGGCAGGCUAGAGUUCGGUAGGGGAGACUGGAAUUCCUGGUGUAGCGGUGAAAUGCGUAGAUAUCUGGAGGAACACCGGUGGCGAAGGCGGCAUCCUGGACCGGUAUUGACGCUGAGGCGCGAAAGCUAGGGGAGCAAACGGG